UACGUAGGGUGCGAGCGUUGUCCGGAAUUACUGGGCGUAAAGAGCUCGUAGGUGGUUUGUCGCGUUGUUCGUGAAAUUCCCUGGCUUAACUGGGGGCGUGCGGGCGAUACGGGCAGACUGGAGUACUGCAGGGGAGACUGGAAUUCCUGGUGUAGCGGUGGAAUGCGCAGAUAUCAGGAGGAACACCGGUGGCGAAGGCGGGUCUCUGGGCAGUAACUGACGCUGAGGAGCGAAAGCGUGGGGAGCGAACAGG
rnacentral:rRNA from 2 species